AUGAAUCACAAUGAAGAAGCAAAACUUGUUGGGGCUUCCCAGAGAGGAAUCUGGCCAACUUUCCUGAUGAAGCUUUAUGAGAGAGGUAGGAAAAAGGAGUCUAGAGACUUCAUACCAAACUUUGGACAAGAAUUUCUGCCACGUGGAUCAUCAGCAGGGUUCUGCCCAGUGAAGAAGAAAGAACUGCAAUAAUUCAAGGUACUGCAUCUGAGUUCCUUGCUCACCUUGAAUUUCUGUUGUCUGAUCAGCUCUCUUCACAUAUUAAUUUUAGAACUCUCAAAAUGGCAGCCACAGGACAUCAGAAUAUUGAACACAGAAGAAACAGAGAAACAAGACAAAGGGGAAUACCUUCUUCAGUGAACAUUAGGUAUUUACUGUGGGUUUGGCCACUAAUCCCAGGACAGAAACGCAUGACAGUUUAUCCAAAAGACACAUGAGCAUGAAGAGUUAAACUGAAAAAGAAAAAAAAUGCUUUGGACUUUUACUUCAAAAUGCACUUUUGAAUUUAAUGCUCUGUGACUUCUCUCCCUCAACUCGGUAAGCUUCUGGAGCACCCUUCUCCUUAUGUUCUGGGGAACAAUGGAUGUUUCAUAUAAAAAUAGGUGUAAGUCAUUGUGUGAAUAAAAUGAAUAAAUAUGAUGUGGCUUGAAACA
rnacentral:lncRNA from 12 species